GCAAGUCGAACGGUAACAGGAAGAAGCUUGCUUCUUUGCUGACGAGUGGCGGACGGGUGAGUAAUGUCUGGGAAACUGCCUGAUGGAGGGGGAUAACUACUGGAAACGGUAGCUAAUACCGCAUAACGUCGCAAGACCAAAGAGGGGGACCUUCGGGCCUCUUGCCAUCGGAUGUGCCCAGAUGGGAUUAGCUAGUAGGUGGGGUAACGGCUCACCUAGGCGACGAUCCCUAGCUGGUCUGAGAGGAUGACCAGCCACACUGGAACUGAGACACGGUCCAGACUCCUACGGGAGGCAGCAGUGGGGAAUAUUGCACAAUGGGCGCAAGCCUGAUGCAGCCAUGCCGCGUGUAUGAAGAAGGCCUUCGGGUUGUAAAGUACUUUCAGCGGGGAGGAAGGGAGUAAAGUUAAUACCUUUGCUCAUUGACGUUACCCGCAGAAGAAGCACCGGCUAACUCCGUGCCAGCAGCCGCGGUAAUACGGAGGGUGCAAGCGUUAAUCGGAAUUACUGGGCGUAAAGCGCACGCAGGCGGUUUGUUAAGUCAGAUGUGAAAUCCCCGGGCUCAACCUGGGAACUGCAUCUGAUACUGGCAAGCUUGAGUCUCGUAGAGGGGGGUAGAAUUCCAGGUGGUAGCGGUGAAAUGCGUAGAGAUCUGGAGGAAUACCGGUGGCGAAGGCGGCCCCCUGGACGAAGA
rnacentral:rRNA from 1 species